UAUGGCUGUUCGCCAUUUAAAGUGGUACGCGAGCUGGGUUUAGAACGUCGUGAGACAGUUCGGUCCCUAUCUGCCGUGGGCGCUGGAGAACUGAGGGGGGCUGCUCCUAGUACGAGAGGACCGGAGUGGACGCAUCACUGGUGUUCGGGUUGUCAUGCCAAUGGCACUGCCCGGUAGCUAAAUGCGGAAGAGAUAAGUGCUGAAAGCAUCUAAGCACGAAACUUGCCCCGAGAUGAGUUCUCCCUGACCCUUUAAGGUCCUGAAGGAACGUUGAAGACGACGACGUUGAUAGGCCGGGUGUGUAAGCGCAGCGAUGCGUUGAGCUAACCGGUACUAAUGAACCGUGAGGCUUAACCUU
rnacentral:rRNA from 1 species